GGCUGGUCCGAUGGUAGUGGGUUAUCAGAACUUAUUAACAUUAGUGUCACUAAAGUUGGUAUUCAACCCCCCACUGCUAAAUUUGACUGGCUUUAA
ensembl:misc_RNA Y_RNA Y RNA